rnacentral:rRNA from 1 species
UACGGGGGGAGCAAGCGUUGUUCGGAUUUACUGGGCGUAAAGGGCGCGUAGGCGGCCACUGCAAGUCGGUUGUGAAAUCUCCGGGCUUAACUCGGAACGGUCAAGUGAUACUGUCGGGCUAGAGUGCAGAAGGGGCAACUGGAAUUCUCGGUGUAGCGGUGAAAUGCGUAGAUAUCGAGAGGAACACCUGCGGCGAAGGCGGGUUGCUGGGCUGACACUGACGCUGAGGCGCGAAAGCCAGGGGAGCGAACGGG